GCAGCAGGUUUGUAGCAAUACAGAUGCUGGCGACCGGCAAACGGGUGCGGAACACGUACGCAACCUCCCUCCUUCUGGAAGAUAGUCCACCGAAAGGUGGAUUAAUACUCCAUAAUAUAUUGAAGUGGCAUCACUUUAAUAUUAAAGCUCCGGCGGAAAGAGAUGGGCGUGCGUCUGAUUAGGUAGUUGGCGGGGUAACGGCCCACCAAGCCUGCGAUCAGUAGCUGAUGUGAGAGCAUGACCAGCCACACGGGCACUGAGACACGGGCCCGACUCCUACGGGAGGCAGCAGUAAGGAAUAUUGGUCAAUGGACGCAAGUCUGAACCAGCCAUGCCGCGUGGAGGAUGAAGGCCCUCUGGGUUGUAAACUUCUUUUCUCUGGGACGAAACCCCCGAUUUCCAUCGGGCCUGACGGUACCAGAGGAAUAAGCACCGGCUAACUCCGUGCCAGCAGCCGCGGUAAUACGGAGGGUGCAAGCGUUAUCCGGAUUCACUGUGUUUAAAGGGUGCGUAGGUGGGCAAGUAAGUCAGUGGUGAAAUCUCUGGGCUUAACCCGGAAACUGCCAUUGAUACUAUUUGUCUUGAAUUCUCUGGAGGUAAGCGGAAUAUGUCAUGUAGCGGUGAAAUGCUUAGAUAUG
rnacentral:rRNA from 1 species